UCCCACAUGACCAGAUAUUUGAACUCUUGGUCCCAAGUUGGUGGUGCUCUCUGGGACAAGAGGGUGGGGUGGGACGAGGACGACAGGGUGGGUGGCAGUCCUCCCUCCACUUCCUGUUCUCUCUCCCCUGCUUGUUAUUGACGUGCUGGGGGGGGAGGGUUAGAGGAGGGGGAGCGGUCCUCCCUCCACUUCCUGUUAGUUCUCUCUCCCCUGCUUGCCUUUGGCAAACAGGUUUCUCAGCUUCUCCCUCAGCCACUCUGAUGUCCUGCUGAGAUGCCUUUCCACCACCAUAGGCUCGCAGCCUCUGAAAGCCCGUGGCUUGAUAAUUAACCUGAGGGAAUGACCAAGAUUAGAUUUUUGUGCUCCCAGCAUGUGCCAGUAGUUGGAGGCAGGAGAUGAGUGCCAAAUUAUCCCAAAUUGAAAUUUACAGCACAUAAGUCAGAAGCAGCCAAAUUAAGCCUUAAAUUGUCGUGCUGUUAAAAGGCAUCGGGACGGUUUCUCCCUACAGAUAUGAAGUGAUCUGAAGCAGACUUUGUUAAAUGAAAAAGCAAGGUGCAAAAGCAUAAAAUGGCUUUGGAAACCUUCCAGUCUUAUACGUUGAAGAACCAGAAACAAAAGAAAAAAAGAAAUACAGAUACAAGGCAAGACCCCAGCUCUGGGUCAUUCUUUAUGAACUGAACUGGACAGAGAUGUGCCACUGAGAACUACCAAUUCUAUGAGAAUAGCACUAGGCCAGGCGUGGUGGCCUUUAAUCCCAGCACUCCGGAGGCAGAGGCAAGCGGAUUUCUGAGUUCGAGGCCAGCCUGGUCUACAAAGUGAGUUCCAGGACAGCCAGGGCUGUAGUCCCCCCUCCCCCAGCCUGAAACCUGCUUGCUCAGGGGUGGAGCUUCCUGCUCAUUCGUUCUGCCACGCCCACUGCUGGACCUUGCAGCUUUGCUGUUUGGAGCCACAUCGUGCUCACCCUGCUACUGGAUUCCGAGAUUAUUUGGCGGGAAUCGGGUCCCCUCCCCCUUCCUUCAUAACUGAGUGUCGCAACAGUAAAAUUGAGCUUU
rnacentral:lncRNA from 1 species